GGCUGUAACCCAGGCAAGAACUGACAGAGGUGGGAAUGAUGGAACAGUCAAGGGGAGGGUGGUGUCUGAAGAUUUAAUGCAACGUAGAAUCACAGGACUUGGUGACUGAUUAGAGGGAAGGAGCAGGGCCAAAGCUGCUAACCAGGUUCCUGGAUCCCAGAAACAGAUCAUGGGCCAUCCCGUAAUUAAAAGAGACUGUGUCUUGCUGUUUUGUUCCCCCAACAUUUUAUUACGGAAAUUUUCCAAUCUACAGAAAAUUUGAAAGAAUUGUAUGGUGAAGGCACAUGUACUCACCACCUAGUUUCUACAAUUAAUACUUGGAUAUAUCUCUCAUACACAUCUAUCCUUCUAUCCACCCCUCCAGAUACUCAUUGAUUCUUUUUUUUUUUUUAAGGAACAUGGAAAUGGGAAGAAAAUAAACGUAAAAGAGAAUGUCUCACCUCCUUAAACAUAGAAACUAAAUGAUCUGCUGCAGGCUCUGGACCGUUGGGGUCGGUGAAGGAUCCCAAGAUGGCUGGGCGAAAACUUGCUCUAAAAGCCAUUGACUGGGUAGCUUUUGGAGAGAUCACACCCCAAAAGGGUGAAACCAAAAGGCUAUUGCUAGUAACCUGAAAUCUUGGAAUGUGACCCUCACCUCCAGGUUACCUGUUCUGCCUGAGAAUCCACCAACUAUUGACUGGGCUUACUACAAGGCCAAUGUGGCCAAGGCAGGCUUGGUGGAUGACUUUGAGAAGAAGUUUAAUGCCCUGAAGGUUCCUGUACCAGAGGAUAAAUAUACUUCCCUAGUGGAUGCUGAAGAAAAGGAGGAUGUGAAAACCUGUGCUGAGUUUGUGUCUCUCUCAAAGGCCAGGAUUGAGGAAUAUGAGAAAGAGCUGGAGAAGAUGAGGAACAUAAUUCCAUUUGAUCAGAUGAACACUGAGGACUUGAAUGAAGUCUUCCUGGAAACCAAAUUAGACAAGAAGUAUCCCUACUGGCUCCACCAGCCAAUCGAGAAUUUAUAAAAAAUUGAGUCUGGGAGGAAGUUCUGGCCCUUAUAUUACACACUCUGGACAUUAAAGAUAAAAAUAAA